rnacentral:rRNA from 1 species
AGCAGCCGCGGUAAUACCAGCUCCAAUAGCGUAUAUUAAAGUUGUUGCAGUUAAAAAGCUCGUAGUUGAAUUUCGGGGUUAGUAGAUUGGUCAUGCCUCUGGUAUGUACUGGUCUCACUGAUUCCUCCUUCCUGAUGAACCUUAAUGCCAUUAAUUUGGUGUUUUGGGGAAUUUGGACUGUUACUUUGAAAAAAUUAGAGUGUUUAAAGCAAGCUAACGCUUGAAUACAUUAGCAUGGAAUAAUGAAAUAGGACGUUCGAUCCUAUUUUGUUGGUUUCUAGGAUUGACGUAAUGAUUAAUAGGGAUAGUUGGGGGCAUUAGUAUUCAAUUGUCAGAGGUGAAAUUCUUGGAUUUAUUGAAGACUAACUACUGCGAAAGCAUUUGCCAAGGAUGUUUUCAUUAAUCAAGAACGAAAGUUAGGGGAUCGAAGACGAUCAGAUACCGUCGUAGUCUUAACCAUAAACUAUGCCGACUAGGGAUCGGAUGAUGUUAAUUUUUUAAUGACUCA